rnacentral:rRNA from 1 species
UUGACCUCAAAUCAGGUAGGACUACCCGCUGAACUUAAGCAUAUCAAUAAGCGGAGGAAAAGAAACUAACAAGGAUUCCCCUAGUAACUGCGAGUGAAGAGGGAAAAGCUCAAAUUUUGAAUCUGGCGGUCUUCAUGGCCGUCCGAGUUGUAAUCUAGAGAAGCGUCUUCCGCGCUGGACCGUGUACAAGUUUCCUGGAAUGGAACGUCGCAGAGGGUGAGAAUCCCGUCUUUGACACGGACUGCCAGGGUAUGUGAUGCGCUCUCGACGAGUCGAGUUGUUUGGGAAUGCAGCUCAAAUAGGGUGGUAAAUUCCAUCUAAAGCUAAAUAUAGGCGAGAGACCGAUAGCGAACAAGUACCGUGAGGGAAAGAUGAAAAGAACUUUGGAAAGAGAGUUAAACAGUACGUGAAAUUGCUGAAAGGGAAACGCUUGAUGUCAGUCGCAUCCGUCGGGGAUCAGUCUCGCAUUCUUGCUUGGCGUACUUCCUGGUGGAUGGGUCAGCAUCGGUUUUGACCGUCGGAAAAUGACUCGAGGAAUGUGGCACUCUUUCGGGAGUGUGUUAUAGACUCGGGUCGAAUACGAUGGUUGGGACCGAGGAACUCAGCACGGCCUUUUGGGUUCGGGGCUUCGGCCCACGUCAGCGUG